rnacentral:rRNA from 1 species
UGCUUGGCGACCAUAGCGUUUUGGACCCACCUGAACCCAUUCCGAACUCAGAAGUGAAACGAAAUAGCGUCGAUGGUAGUGUUGGGUUUCCCCAUGUGAGAGUAGAACAUCGCCAGGCUU